UUGUGUUGGAAAAACUCGGUGUUUCUAUUUGAUUUAGUGUUUAAUCAUCGCUCAAAGAAGGCCAUUUGCUAAGGACAGUCAACGGUAAUUGGUGUUCCUGUUGUUGAUGAGAUCAAUCACUUACUCAACCGUCGAGUGAAAAGACCAUUCGCUGGACUAAGAUGUGAGGAAUGCAAGCUUUCCUUUUAUUCCUUUCUUGGUUUUCUUGGUUAUUGAAUGAAAUUUGAUUCAUGAAACUUGCAAACUCAGUGCGAUCAAAUUUCAGAUUCAUUGAAUAAAAGGAAAAAGCACUUGAAGCACAUUAUUAUUAUUGAUCGGAAGAAACAGAAACGGAUGUAUCUAGCAAACUAUCAAGAUGAGCAUUUGAUAUUCAAAGUGAAAAGGGAAAAAAGUAAAACAACAUCAACAUGGAAGAUUAAAAUUUCAUCUUCUCCUUUGUCAACCUUUCUUUCCUCAUCAUCACCAUCAUCAUGGUGAUCAUCCUUGAAAAGAGUGAAACAAAAAUGAGCAAUAAAUUUGGUUAAAUGAGGUAAACUUGGAAAACAUUAACAUGGAUAAAAUGAAGGAAAGGAUAAAAAAAGAGAGAACGAGACAAAAGUUCAUCAUUUGAUGGGUUAAAGUAAUGUUAUUAAAUUGUAUUUAUGUCGACCUCGUAUUUGAAACCAUUAAACACCAACAUUGAUAUCAUUAGAUUGGUAAUAAUAGAUUUCAAUGAUCUCGACUAUUAUCAGGAAAAGAUGCGAAAGAAAAACAUUUCAAUGAAACUUCAUUUUUUGUGUUCGCUUUUUUUGUUGGUAAAACAGCUUUUCAUGAGUUUACAUGAGUUCAAUUCAUUUUCCAAUUAGAUGCCAAUUAACAAGUAAAUUGGAGCAAUUGAAAAGUGGAAAAUAUUGAAACAUUACUCUUGAAAAUGCAAAACUGGAAAUGUUUUCGUGAGUUGAUUCAACACUUGAGAGGAAAAGGGUGAAAGUUGAUUGGCCAGAUUCUUGUUAUCAGAAUUUCAUUGUUCUUUUCUUCGUUUUCCCUGUUUAUCAUCAUUGUAAUCAUUGCAAGAGUUUUUUUGUCUUCUCGUUGUAAGUGAUUCUCAAUGUCUUUUAAGCAGAUAAUUCUGGUUCGAGAAUGGAAACCAGAAGAUGAUCAUGGAGACAGUUUUUCAAGAUCUAAUAAUAAUAAUGACAGUCUAACUGGGAAAGGUCAAUUGAUGAAAAGAGUUUGUUGAACUUUAUUGUUUAUAUUGUUAUCCAUUAUUGCAUUGUAAUAAAAUGAUGAAAGAUGAA